UUGCUGCUGGUGUGAUUUACUAUCGCAAACGUCAAGCAGGACAACAUAACGAUGUUACAGACACGGUGAUGCAGUUCAGUGAUCAGAUGGAAAAAGACCCUGUUGAUGACUCCUGCCAAUGAAUCAGACUGAAACUGGGGCUGCCAAUGAGACAUCACAGAAACUUUAUUAUGUUGAUACUUUCAUUUAAAGGGAACAUAAAGAAAAGUUGGGAAACCAAUAGUGUCACGAUACCAAGAUUUCAGUAUUCAGUACUGAUGCCAGUGAAACCAAAUUCAGCUAAUUAAAAUUCAAACUAAUUAGCUAUAAUUCAGUUUUAAGUGAUUUAAAUAAUAAAAAUGUAGCCUAAUUUUUUUUGUUAUUAUGUAACAUAGCUUCAGAAUAGACAAACCGUAAAUUAGCAACUAAAUGAUUAAAGUUUGAGAAAGCCUGACCAGAAAGUUUCGAGUAGUUUUAAAAGCAUAAUGUUUAAAGGUUUUGAAGGCCAUGCAGUCUAUCAGAAAAAAACAGACAGAAUCAAAUAACAUGUUGGCUUUCUCAUUAAGAAACAGAGAAAAAUAUUAAUUCCAAUAGUUCAAAGAGUGCUUGAGGGUUCUUUCAGUAUGUCAGUGUUUAUUAAAGGUGCUAAAGUUACAUCUUUAGAAUUUUCGUAUUAGCAACUUUACAGUUCUACACGGGAAGAUCCCUGAUGAAAACACCAGUAUGCUGUUGUUCCCAAGAUUCACUGUACUAAAAACUGGUGUUUUCAGCAGAAAUCCUUUUAUAUUAAAGUUAAUAAGCUUUGUGCUUUUGUCUGUUUGUGGCGUCUUACAUUUGUUGUUAAAGGUUCAAAUCCUGCAAGGGUUGAUCCAUGAAAUCUCACCACUGUGUCCUUGAUCA